rnacentral:rRNA from 1 species
CCUACGGGGGGCUGCAGUGGGGAAUAUUGGACAAUGGGGGCAACCCUGAUCCAGCCAUGCCGCGUGUGUGAAGAAGGCCCUCGGGUUGUAAAGCACUUUCAGUGAGGAAGAACGCCUGGUGGUUAAUACCCAUCAGGAAUGACAUCACUCACAGAAGAAGCACCGGCUAACUCCGUGCCAGCAGCCGCGGUAAUACGGAGGGUGCGAGCGUUAAUCGGAAUUACUGGGCGUAAAGCGCGCGUAGGUGGCUUGAUAAGCCGGUUGUGAAAGCCCCGGGCUCAACCUGGGAACGGCAUCCGGAACUGUCAAGCUAGAGUGCAGGAGAGGAAGGUAGAAUUCCCGGUGUAGCGGUGAAAUGCGUAGAGAUCGGGAGGAAUACCAGUGGCGAAGGCGGCCUUCUGGACUGACACUGACACUGAGGUGCGAAAGCGUGGGUAGCAAACAGGAUUAGAUACCCCAGUAGUC